rnacentral:tRNA from 1 species
GCACCGGUAGCUCAGCUGGAUAGAGCGACUGCCUUCUAAGCCGUAGGUCGCAGGUUCGAAUCCUGUCCGGUGUACCA